rnacentral:rRNA from 1 species
CAGGCUGCAACUCGCCUGCAUGAAGUCGGAAUUGCUAGUAAUCGCAGAUCAGCAUGCUGUGGUGAAUACGUUCCCGGGCCUUGUACACACCGCCCGUCACACCAUGGGAGUCGGUAACACCCAAAGUUGGUAGUCUAACCGCAAGGAGGACGCCGCCUAAGGUGGGAUUGAUGACUGGGGUGAAGUCGUAACAAGGUACC